rnacentral:rRNA from 1 species
AGCGAACGCUGGCGGCAGGCCUAACACAUGCAAGUCGAACGGAUCCUUCGGGAUUAGUGGCGGACGGGUGAGUAACACGUGGGAACGUGCCCUUUGGUUCGGAACAACUCAGGGAAACUUGAGCUAAUACCGGAUGUGCCCUUCGGGGGAAAGAUUUAUCGCCAUUGGAGCGGCCCGCGUCUGGUUGGCUAGUUGGUGGGGUAAAGGCCCACCAAGGCGACGAGCAGUAGCUGGUCUGAGAGGAUGCUCAGCCACAUUGGGCCUGAGACACGGCCCAAACUCCUACGGGAGGCAGCAGUGGGGAAUCUUGCGCAAUGGGCGAAAGCCUGACGCAGCCAUGCCGCGUGAAUGAUGAAGGUCUUAGGAUUGUAAAAUUCUUUCACCGGGGACGAUAAUGACGGUACCCGGAGAAGAAGCCCCGGCUAACUUCGUGCCAGCCGCCGCCGUAACAC